AUACGGAGAGUGCAAGCGUUGUUCGGAAUUACUGGGCUUAAAGCGCGUGUAGGCGGGAUGUCAGGUGCCAUGUGAAAGCCCCGGGCUCAACCCGGGAAUGGCUUGGCAAACCGGCAUUCUUGAGGCAGGUAGAGGUGACUGGAACGACUGGUGGAGCGGUGAAAUGCGUAGAUAUCAGUUGGAACGCCUGAGGCGAAAGCGGGUCACUGGACCCGUCCUGACGCUGAGACGCGAAAGCGUGGGUAGCGAACAGGAUUAGAUACCCCGGUAGUCC
rnacentral:rRNA from 1 species